CAGGCCUAACACAUGCAAGUCGAGCGGUAGAGAGAAGCUUGCUUCUCUUGAGAGCGGCGGACGGGUGAGCAAUACCUAGGAAUCUGCCUGAUAGUGGGGGAUAACGUUCGGAAACGGACGCUAAUACCGCAUACGUCCUACGGGAGAAAGCAGGGGACCUUCGGGCCUUGCGCUAUCAGAUGAGCCUAGGUCGGAUUAGCUAGUUGGUGAGGUAAUGGCUCACCAAGGCUACGAUCCGUAACUGGUCUGAGAGGAUGAUCAGUCACACUGGAACUGAGACACGGUCCAGACUCCUACGGGAGGCAGCAGUGGGGAAUAUUGGACAAUGGGCGAAAGCCUGAUCCAGCCAUGCCGCGUGUGUGAAGAAGGUCUUCGGAUUGUAAAGCACUUUAAGUUGGGAGGAAGGGCAGUUACCUAAUACGUGAUUGUCUUGACGUUACCGACAGAAUAAGCACCGGCUAACUCUGUGCCAGCAGCCGCGGUAAUACAGAGGGUGCAAGCGUUAAUCGGAAUUACUGGGCGUAAAGCGCGCGUAGGUGGUUUGUUAAGUUGAAUGUGAAAUCCCCGGGCUCAACCUGGGAACUGCAUCCAAAACUGGCAAGCUAGAGUAUGGUAGAGGGUAGUGGAAUUUCCUGUGUAGCGGUGAAAUGCGUAGAUAUAGGAAGGAACACCAGUGGCGAAGGCGACUACCUGGACUGAUACUGACACUGAGGUGCGAAAGCGUGGGGAGCAAACAGGAUUAGAUACCCUGGUAGUCCACGCCGUAAACGAUGUCAACUAGCCGUUGGGAGUCUUGAACUCUUAGUGGCGCAGCUAACGCAUUAAGUUGACCGCCUGGGGAGUCGGCCGCAAGGUUAAAAC
rnacentral:rRNA from 1 species